AAGCAAGUAAGAAAGGGCGUACGGUGGAUGCCUAGGCUCUUGCAGGCGAAGAAGGACGUGAUAAGCUGCGAAAAGCUUCGGGUAGGUGCAAAUAACCUUUGAUCCGGAGAUAUCCGAAUGGGACAACCCGGCAGGCUGAAGGCCUGUCAUCCGUCGAUCGACGGAAGCGAACGCGGGGAACUGAAACAUCUUAGUACCCGUAGGAAGAGAAAAUAAUAAUGAUUCCCCAAGUAGUGGCGAGCGAACGGGGAUAAGCCCAAACCGCAUCUGUUCAGGCAGGCGCGGGGUUGUAGGGCCGCAAUAACGCAAGAAGACAACCGAGUGGAAUGAGUUGGAAAAUUCAGCCGUAGCGGGUGAAAGCCCCUUACACGAAGGUUGUCCAAGCAGAGCGGUACCCUGAGUAGCGCGGGACACGAGAAAUCCUGUGUGAAUCCGGCGGGCCCAUCCGCCAAGGCUAAAUACUCGCAAGAGACCGAUAGUGAACCAGUACC
rnacentral:rRNA from 1 species